GUGCUCGCUUCGGCAGCACAUAUGCUAAAAUUGGAAUAAUGCCGAGAAGAUUAGCACGGCCUCUGUGCGAGGAUGACACGCAAAUUCCAGAAGCGGUCCAUAUUUUU